CGGGACUGGUGGAAAGUGGUGAUGUGGGUCGUGCUCCACACACCGAGGACGGGACUUCCUCACAGAGCAGCCGAUCAAGAUAUAUAGUUUGGAAGGCCGCCAGCCAGCGCCCACCAGCGGCCCCAGUGCUCCUUGUACCUUCACUUGCGGCGUCCCCUCUCCCCUAUCCUCCUCAAAGUCCUUCAGCAUGUCAGUGCUGUCCAUCCUGAGACGCGGGGAUUUAGCAGACUGGGUCCUGGUUAGGCUGGUGGGUCCCUCAUGACGACUGAGAGGGACUAGAGUGCGGGCCUUUGUACCCUUCCCGCGAGGCAUGUCAUUCCUGCAAGGUGGGGAGGAACAGA